AUUGUGAACUGUGCAUGUGAGGGAUGUAGGCUGUACACUAUUUAUGAGAAUCUAAUGCCUUAGGAUCUGUCACUGCCUCUCAUCACCCCCAGAUGGGAACAUUUAGUUGCAGGAAAUCAAUCCCAGUGCUCUCACUGAUUCUACAAUAUGGACAUCAAGGGCUCCGGACAUUGUGAAAGUUUCCCUUUAAGUUACGACGGGAAUCCAGAACAACGCCGUAUGGACCCCUCUGCAGGUAGCGCGGAAAAGCUGCAGCAUUGUUACUGUAAGCAAAUAGGUGUGAGACCCCAAGCCAGGAGAGACCCAUGACCUCAGGUGCCAUCAGGAGAACUUAAACCUGAAGAAGGGAUCAGCUAUCCCACAACCCAGUGCCCCUCCCAGACAGCACAACAGAAUCUAAGGGGCUACAGGAUGAUUCCAGGAACAGUGCACUACAGGACCACGUUGCAGGAAUCGUGCCUUGGAUUCACCACAGUUGGCUGAAACUGGUAGCCCAAGACAAGUGGACCAGCCAGAAGGACCCAGGCCAUCCAACCCAGCUGAUCCUAUGAUGGGACCGAGGUGCCAAUGAAGACUACAACAGCCCUGCUCUGGUCACUUCAGAAGCUGACCAGUCUACACACGGUGGAAGCUUGAGGAAACAACAGCCCUGUUCUAGUCACCCCAGAAGCUGACUCGUCUAUGUACGGCCAAAGCUCGAGGCAUCAUCAGGAAAGUAAAAGUGGUUAGAAAUCUUACGUCUGGAAACUUUCCUUGUAAUAUUAAUUGUUUUACUAUUGUCCUGUUGCUUUGCUCAACCUCCUCCUCUAGGAAAGGACCUCUUCUCUCCAUGCUAGGUAUAAACAUGUUAUUCAUUACUUUUGCUAUUCCCUUUAACCACGUUAAAGGGAGAAUCCUUAGAAGGAUGCCCCCACUGCACUGACAAUACGUAGACAGGAAGCACCAUGACUAGAACCCUGUUCUACCACUUAUUAUAGGUAUGCAGGGACCCAUUGAGGAACUUGUACACACAACCAGAUAACCUACUCAAUCUGCAACCCAGGAAGUGGCCAGCCUUAUAUAUGUUAUGACCCAAAGUCCUUACCUAGAACCUAGUUGGAGGUUCAUGUCAGGUCAAAAGAAAUAAAAGGGGAAUAACCAUAAAGAAUUAAAGAUAAUGAAUGGCCACCUGAAAGAAUAAUGCAAUACUAUGGCCCAGCCACAUGGGCAGAUGGAUCAUGGAGAUACCGCACCCCUAUUUACAUGCUAAAUCACAUCAUAUGGUUGCAGGCAGUACUGGAGAUCAUUACGAAUGAUACUGCAAGAGCCUUAAAUUUGCUGGCUCGGAAAUCUACAGAAAUGAGAAAUGCCGUUUAUCAAAAUAGACUGGCUUUAGACUACCUCCUAGCCCAAGAGGGAGGAGUAUGUAGAAAGUUCAGCCUAACUAAUUGCUGUCUAAAAAUCGAUGACAACGGAAAGGUCGUCAAACAAAAAGCUGCAAGAAUCCAAAAAUUAGCCCAUAUUCCAGUCAAGACUUAGAAAGGAUGGUCUCCAGAUUCCCUCUUCAGGGGUUAGUUCUCAUCCCUUGCAGAAUUUAAAACCUUAGUAAGAAUAGUUCUAGCCAUAUUAGGAGUCUGCCUCAUACUCCCUUGUCUCUUACCCCUCCUUGUCAAAAACAUCUAAAUGGCCACAGAGGCUCUUGUAACCAGGCAAACUACUACACAACUAAUGACCCUAACUAAAUAUCAGCCUUUGCCAAAUGAAGAAAACUUGCCUUUUCAUGAAAAAUUAAGUCAUAGUGAUGCUAUUAAACGUCAUUUAUAAAAAGCGUCAAAGGGGGAAAUGAAGUAGAGGAUGUAAAGAAAACUAGUCCUUAUCCCCUCUCCUCCCAUAGAGCAAUGAUGGGAAAAACAAUUUUUCCUCCUCUCCUAGCUUCCUCCUCCCCUUAGUAAUCCUUCCUUAGUGAAACUCAAGGUUACUUCACAACAACUCCAGUUUCUCUGUUCUGGAUAACAUGACAAGGUUACAAGACGAGCUUGAGUAAGACAUGUACCAGCUGCAAGGCCUGCUUUAGUUUGAUAAAUUCAUGUUUCCCUUCCAGUGAAGCUGCAAGGUCAGCAUAACCUGUCACUGUUUGAUUAACUGCCUCUGUUCUGCUUCUGUGAGCCUGCUUACUUGCACCACGAGCUUUGCGCCACUAGAUGGCCCAUGCAUGUAUAAAAGACAAGCCCUGUCUUAGUCCAAGGCUCAGCUUUUUGGAUGCGAAUCCAUUGUGCCAGGGUGCACCUUAAUAAAAUCCUCCAGUUUCACCU
rnacentral:lncRNA from 1 species